UACGGAGGGGGUUAGCGUUGUUCGGAAUGACUGGGCGUAAAGCGCGCGUAGGCGGGCUGGAAAGUUGGGGGUGAAAUCCCGGGGCUCAACCCCGGAAUGGCCUUCAAAACUCCCAGCCUAGAGUUCGAGAGAGGUGAGUGGAAUUCCGAGUGUAGAGGUGAAAUUCGUAGAUAUUCGGAGGAACACCAGUGGCGAAGGCGGCUCACUGGCUCGACACUGACGCUGAGGUGCGAAAGCGUGGGGAGCAAAC
rnacentral:rRNA from 2 species